AAGAAAGUGAAGUUUUCAUUCGCCAAAAUAGAAAACCUGAGAAACCUAAGAAAAGAUUUAGCAGAAGAGAAGCGCAAGUUGGAACAAAACCAGGAAAUGUUGGAGUCCCUGAACAGUGAAGUUGAAAAGGCCGUGCAGGACUCGUAUGCCAUAGAAGAGUCUACAAAGGCCUUAGAAGAGAAGCUUGAGUACUUGACAGAGCAAGCAGCAAAAGAUGCUCAAACCCCGGACAGUGUCACAAAUUUAGACCCCUUGCAGCUUCCGAAAGCC